CUCAUAGAUUUUUUGCUUAUCUCACAGGCACCUUAGACAGAGAGGGAGACAAAAUAACAGCUUUGCAUAUUCUUCUGUGAAAGGGGAGGAACAGCAAGAAACUACAGUGGGGCAUGAUGAGAAACUCCAGAAAGAGAAACUCAGUUCUGAUAUAUUUUAAGUGAUUCUUUUUUGCUUAUGGCAUUCAGAAUGCUGGUGGCACCCAUUAUAUAACAUGGUCACAGCAUAGGAACUGAAAUGUGAACUCCAAACAAACAGUAGAGAAGGAGAUCUGUUUACAUCUGUUUUAAAGGGACAGCAUAGGAACUGAAAUGUGAACUCCAAACGAAAAGUAGAGAAGGAGGAGAUCUGUUUACAUCUGUUUUAAAGGAAACAUGGUCACAGCAUAGGAACUGAAAUGUGAACUCCAAACAAACAGUAGAGAAGGAGAUCUGUUUACAUCUGUUUUAAAGGGGAGCACUGUAAACAUAACACUGAAACCUUCCUGUGGAAUUUUCUUAAGAGCAGUGAAGGGUAAAUCUGUAUAGGGAACAUUGCCCAGCAACAGCUCCUACUUCAACAUCUCCCCAAGUCCUAAAGCUGUGUACUAUUGUUUUGUGCAGGUAAACUGUCUUGUGUGUGUUCUCAUUUCUUUUUUUCCACUAACAACCCAAAUUGUGAGCCUGGGGAAAUCAAGGUGAGGAGUUCAUUUCAUUUCAUUCAUUCAUUUCAUUUCAUUCCAUUCAACUCUGGAAUCCAGCCCACCGGAACUUGUAUCUUUUGAAGCUCUAAUAAUUAACAUGCCUGCAUUCCUUAAACAGCAGCACUCACCAAAAUGUACUUCCUGCAGAGCUGAAUGAGGGCAAGGACAUUGUCUGACCAGCAGGGAGUAAAGCAUGGCAACCCUUCCUGGAAGGACUCCUGUGGGUGUGGGGCUGGUUGAAGAAGAGCAUUCACCUGAGCUGGGAGGGGCCGGAAGGCUCCUGGCUCCUUUACAAAUACAGGAGGGGAAGUUUGGAGAAGUUCAGGUGACAAGUAAAAUUUGAGUAAUACCCAUGUGGCUGUGACUGAAAUCGGAGGGUUUUGCCUCCUACAAGGUAAGCUAACACACACAGCAGAGUGUCAUCAUUUCUCUAGUGCAGAUGGGACCAUUCACUUGGGGAACUUGGCUUUGUGUGGUUGUUUGUCUCUGCAAUUGCUUUUCACCAGUUUUGGUUUUGCAGUAGUUUUGGUUUAACCCAUCUACUGACAGCUGUGGUAUCCGCUGUCCUGGACCAGGAAAACAGGGAAUGCUUUUCAGUUUGCUGAAUC
rnacentral:lncRNA from 1 species